AGACAUUCCUAUGCAUGCUUUUGACAAAUAUUUAAAGUACCAUGCUUUCUUCCAUCCGAAGCAGUAAGUGUUUUCUAAAAUGAAUUCACCGUGCAUCUUUCUGAAGAUCAAUUUUGAUCACUUUACAAAGAAUUUUGGACGGGAUAUCUGAUGAGGGCAUGUGCUGUUCUAACUCCUGAUGCGCCAAAGCUCCAAGAGGAAGUUCACUGAAUCACUAACAGACGAUGAAUUGACAAGUAAACGAAUCAGUGGCCAUGCUCCUU
rnacentral:misc_RNA from 1 species